rnacentral:lncRNA from 1 species
AGACUCAAACUCCUUCAUGAGUCAAUCAACCGGCUACAAAAAUUGGUGUACAGGUCCUGGGCUUAAAAAUAGCGGAACAGAUCGGGAGUCGAAAAAGAUUAGGCCAAAAGCCCGCCUAUAUUUAUUCCGAGUUGUAUUUUGUAAUUUUGGGCCUAAGCCCCCUUGUCAUUAUUUAUUAUUAUUGCAUUAGUUUUUAGGACAGGUGAAAAUUUGGGCCAAAGGCCUAAAGGAAAUUAUUUCUUUUAAUUUUGGGCAGGUGGCAAGAAUUGGGCCUUUGGCCCAAAAUGAAAUGGGCCCAAGUAUUGGUCCAGGCGGACAGAAAAAACCAAGCUUGGGCUCGAGUCUCUUUCCCCCUUUACUUU